GUUGGCUACAUUAGGAUUCAACACUUGAGGCCUACAGAGUACAAUAGAUCAAGGUUGCCUAGAAACCGUUGGACUGUUAACCGUGCAUAUGGUGGAGUUUUGUCUGGAGGUGCUGUUAGGGAAAGAAGAACAAGUUUGCAAUUACUAAUGACAAGGGUAGGCUCUCAAAGGAGGAGAUUGAGAAGAAGGUACAAGAUGCUGAGAAGUACAAAUCGGAGGACGAGGAACACAAGAAAAAGGUGGAGGCCAAAAAUGCUCUUGAGAAC